rnacentral:misc_RNA from 1 species
AAGUCGUAACAAGGUUUCCGUAGGUGAACCUGCGGAAGGAUCAUUACAAAUAAAGCUGGUAGGAAGUGGGGUCUUGAUCUGUAAGUGGUAGAGCGAACAGUCCGGCUGCCUCCCGAAAUGUCUUACAUGUCCCCCACCAGCCUGCAGGCAGGCAUAUCAACCACUUGAUUAUCUACACUUGUUGCUUUGGGGUGCUCAAGUGCCCCAGAGGACCCAACUCUCUUGCAUUUAGUGACGUCUGAGUACUAUAUAAUAUUUAAAA